UCUCGCAGCCAUAUCACCCUGCAACUCACAACUGGCAACCCACUGAAGCUAAGCAGGUGUGAGCCUGGUCAGUACCUGGAUGGGAGACCUCCUGGGAAAAACUAAGAUUGCUGCUGGGA
ensembl:rRNA 5S_rRNA 5S ribosomal RNA